CAGUAGCCGCGGGAAUACGAAGGGGGCUAGCGUUGUUCGGAAUUACUGGGCGUAAAGCGCACGUAGGCGGACAUUUAAGUCAGGGGUGAAAUCCCGGGGCUCAACCCCGGAACUGCCUUUGAUACUGGGUGUCUAGAGUAUGGAAGAGGUGAGUGGAAUUCCGAGUGUAGAGGUGAAAUUCGUAGAUAUUCGGAGGAACACCAGUGGCGAAGGCGGCUCACUGGUCCAUUACUGACGCUGAGGUGCGAAAGCGUGGGGAGCAAACAGGAUUAGAUACCCCCGUAGUCCCUGUCUCUUAUAA
rnacentral:rRNA from 1 species